CCUACGGGAGGCAGCAGUGAGGAAUAUUGGUCAAUGGACGAGAGUCUGAACCAGCCAAGUAGCGUGAAGGAUGACUGCCCUAUGGGUUGUAAACUUCUUUUAUAAAGGAAUAAAACGAGGCACGUGUGCCUUUUUGCAUGUACUUUAUGAAUAAGGAUCGGCUAACUCCGUGCCAGCAGCCGCGGUAAUACGGAGGAUCCGAGCGUUAUCCGGAUUUAUUGGGUUUAAAGGGAGCGUAGAUGGGUUGUUAAGUCAGUUGUGAAAUUUUGCGGCUCAACCGUAAAAUUGCAAUUGAUACUGGCAGUCUUGAGUACAGUUGAGGUAGGCGGAAUUCGUGGUGGAGCGGUGAAAUGCUUAGAGAUCAAGAAGAACACCGAUUGCGAAGGCAGCUUACUAAACUGUGACUGACAUUGAUGCUCGAAAGUGUGGGUACCAAACAGGAUUAGAUACCCGUGUAGUC
rnacentral:rRNA from 1 species